UACGUAGGGGGCGAGCGUUGUCCGGAUUUAUUGGGCGUAAAGAGCGUGUAGGCGGCUUGGCAAGUCCGCUGUGAAAACUCGAGGCUCAACCUCGAGACGUCGGUGGAAACUGCCUGGCUAGAGUCCGGAAGAGGAGAGUGGAAUUCCUGGUGUAGCGGUGAAAUGCGCAGAUAUCGGGAAGAACACCCGUGGCGAAGGCGGUUCUCUGGGACGGUACUGACGCUGAGACGCGAAAGCGUGGGGAGCGAACAGG
rnacentral:rRNA from 1 species